AUGUCCGCGUGGCCGCGCAUGUCGAUGCGGCGCCAGAGCGCGGGCACGUCGCGCGCGGCGCGGCACCAGGAGCGGCGCACCUGCCCCACGCCGGUCAGGAUCUCGAUGUGGUCGAGCUUGUGGAGGAUGGCGCAGAGCACGUCCAGCAGGAGCCUCGCCCAGUCCCUCGCCUCCUCCGCCGCAGGCGCUAGUGCUGGCCCCUUGCGGCCGCGUCGUCCACGGGAGUCGAGAGCCACGAGACUAGGCUGUGGAAAUGAAAAUGGACCAUGCUUGAGCCAUGCUCCAGGUGAGCUGCGCGUAGCCGCCGCCGCCGCUGAAAAUGGCCCAUGCGUGAGCCAUGCUCCAGGUGAGCUGCGCGUAGCUGCCGCCGGCGAGCGUGUGCGCCGUCGUGCGUGA
rnacentral:rRNA from 1 species